ACCGCUGUUACUACAGGGGUGCAUUUCAUGCUGGGCCCAGCGUUAGUGGAUGCACACCGGAGACCCUCUUAGAUACAGAAACCAUGACCGUCAAAGGGCGUGUGUUAAGGGACUGGAGAGUGACGUUUAUCGAGCACUUCCUGUAAGAAAACUUUUGAAAGUUGGAAGACAGUAUUGUUCAUUUCUUCAAGAUGCUGCUUAUUCAAUCACCACAUUUUUACCAGUGCUGAAGGAGGGCAAGAAUUGUGCUGGGUGCUGAGGAUUCAGUGGUGAACACUUGAACCAGACAAAUAAAGGGCAAUCAAAAUAACUGUUAAAUGCUAA